UUCCUCUUGAAGUUGGAUCCUUUGCUUCUUUUCUUCAAUAGCUGCACGUUCGCUUUUCUCGGCAAGUAUCUCUGUACCUUUCCAUCUGGUUAUUCAGAUGAGAAUUGUACCCACCAAUGUCCCAUGGCCGCGUCUUUGGUGAUUGAAGCAUCCGUGUCUACCUCCUUUGCUGAUAAUCUUAAAGGGUUUAUUCUCGCCCUGGUUUCUAGUGCUUUCAUCGGGUCCAGCUUCAUCAUCAAGAAGUUGGGUCUCCAACGUGCUGGCGCCUCGGGCCCUCGAGCCAGUUCUGGUGGAUACGGGUAUCUGAAGGAGCCGUUUUGGUGGGUUGGCAUGGUGACAAUGAUCGUCGGUGAACUUGCCAAUUUUGUCGCUUACAUGUUUGCUCCUGCGGUACUUGUGACACCACUUGGAGCUUUGAGUAUAAUCGUUAGUGCUGUUCUAGCACACUUCUUCUUGAAGGAAAAAUUGCGGAAAAUGGGAAUAGUGGGGUGUGUCUUAUGCAUAGUGGGUUCUACAUUGAUUGUGCUUCAUGCACCCAGUGAACUUAGUCUGAGUUCAGUGGAGGAAAUUUGGGAAUUAGCAACUCAACCAGUUUUUCUUUUAUACACAGCCUCAGCAAUAGCGGUAGUUUUGGUGCUGAUAUUGUAUUGUGAACCACGUUUUGGGCAGACAAACAUACUGGUCUAUAUUGGCGUAUGUUCCAUAAUUGGAUCAUUGACGGUUAUGAGUAUUAAAGCUGUAGGCAUUGCUAUAAAACUCACAUUGGAGGGUUCAAGCCAGGCAGGAAGCUUCCAAACAUGGGUUUUUGUAAUGGUUGCAAUUACGUGUAUUAUCACUCAGCUGAAUUAUUUGAACAAGGGUGCACCUGUGAACGUGAUGAAGUUGUGCUACAGAGGGGUGCCUGCUUGUAUUUUUUUUUUUUGGUGCAUAUAAAAAAUGUAGAAAAGAUUCAGACUCUGAGAAGGGUGAUUUCAGAAUCAGUUUUGAUUUAGAAAAUAAUGUGCAUCAAUGACCCAGGCUUUGGACACAUUCAAGACAACGGUUGUUUCUCCAAUCUAUUAUGCUUUGUUCACAUCACUCACAAUUUUUGCCAGUGCCAUAAUGUUCAAGGACUGGUCUGGUCAGAGUGCUAGCAGUAUUGUCUCAGUGCUUUGUGGAUUCAUAACUGUGCUUUCUGGAACUUUGGUAUUGCAUAGUACAAGUGACCGGGAUCCAACUUCUGUUGCAGAUAUCUAUGCAUCACUGUCUCCUCAAGUAUCAUGGUUUGUCCAUGAAAAUGGUGAAAUUUGGAAGCAGAAUGCUGAUGAUGAACUGUGCCCUGAUUUUGAUGCAAUUAUUAAGCAAGACCAUUUCAAAUAAGAUGGGAAAAUAUCCAGGCAUAUCCAUACUGCAUCUCUUACAGCCUACUGAAGGCUGUAUAGGGCAUUGGUGCAAAAAAUCUGCUUAUAUUUUUGCAUACCCUGGUAUUGCUGGAUUCCAUAUUCUUUUUAGUGCUUCACUUGGCGGCGUGACAUUAAACAGUGAAUUGUGGAGGAAAAUAUGUCUUGUUCUUAUUUUAGUUACUAGCAAGUUUUCUUUCCUACUUACAUACUUGUAGGAUUUUAUAAUCAGUUGCAGCACUCUAUGACUAAUUCAUUUUGUAGUUAGUACCUAGUUGUAAUAUGUGUUGUGUAUUGUCAACAUAAGUCCUGUUUUCGUUGUACAAAGCAACAGCAAAGAAAUUAAUUCAACUCAGUUCCUUUCGAUGAAA